rnacentral:rRNA from 1 species
UACGUAGGGGGCAAGCGUUGUCCGGAUUUAUUGGGCGUAAAGAGCGUGUAGGCGGUUUGGUAGGUCCGCUGUGAAAACUCGAGGCUCAACCUCGAGACGCCGGUGGAAACCAUCAGACUAGAGUUCGGUAGGGGAGACUGGAAUUCCUGGUGUAGCGGUGAAAUGCGCAGAUAUCAGGAGGAACACCGGUGGCGAAGGCGGGUCUCUGGGCCGAAACUGACGCUGAGGAGCGAAAGCGGUGGGGAGCAAACAGG